AGGACGAACGCUGGCGGCGUGCUUAACACAUGCAAGUCGAGCGGCAGCGCGGGGGCGACCCUGGCGGCGAGCGGCGGACGGGUGAGUAAGGCAUCGGAAUCUGCCCUGAUGUGGGGGAUAACGUAGGGAAACUUACGCUAAUACCGUAUACGACCGAGAGGUGAAAGCGGGGGACCGAAAGGCCUCGCGCAGCAGGAUGAGCCGAUGUCCGAUUAGCUAGUUGGUGGGGUAACGGCCUACCAAGGCGACGAUCGGUAGCUGGUCUGAGGGGGAUGAUCAGCCACACUGGGACUGAGACACGGCCCAGACUCCUACGGGAGGCAGC
rnacentral:rRNA from 1 species